rnacentral:rRNA from 1 species
ACGGAAGGCAGCAGUGAGGAAUAUUGGUCAAUGGGCGGAAGCCUGAACCAGCCAUGCCGCGUGCAGGAAUAAGGUCCUAUGGAUUGUAAACUGCUUUUGAGCGGGAGCAAUAAGGUGUACGCGUACACCGAUGAGAGUACCGUUCGAAUAAGCAUCGGCUAACUCCGUGCCAGCAGCCGCGGUAAUACGGGGGAUGCAAGCGUUAUCCGGAUUUAUUGGGUUUAAAGGGUGCGUAGGCUGUUUGUCAAGUCAGGGGUGAAAUCCCAGUGCUUAACAUUGGAAUUGCCUUUGAUACUGACAGGCUUGAAUACUGUUGCCGUGGGAGGAAUGAGUAGUGUAGCGGUGAAAUGCAUAGAUAUUACUCAGAACACCGAUUGCGAAGGCAUCUCACGAAGCAGUGAUUGACGCUGAGGCACGAAAGCGUGGGGAUCAAACAGGAUUAGAUACCCUGGUA